rnacentral:tRNA from 1 species
GGGGUUGUGGCUCAGUGGUAGAGUGCUUGCCUAGCAUGCAUGAGGCACUAGGUUUGAUCCUCAGCACCA